GCUGUCUAGAUAUAUAAGACCUUUUAUUUAUAUAUAUUAUUUAUUAGAAAUAAUUAUCAAAUACAACUUGAUUAAUUAUAAACUCAACAUUAAUUAUAAACAUGAUUAUAUUAGUACAUUAUUUAUCCUCUUGCAAUAUUCUUUCGAUCAUCUCUAAAUUCUCCCGUGUUUGUUGUCUGGUCUGCAAUCUGUAUCUUCUUUGUGCUGUUUCUUGAGUUUGGUUUAUUUCCGCGUGUAGUUGUCUUCUGCUAUCGUCGUCCGGUAUCCUGUUCUGUAUUGUUGUUGCUACUACAUGUCUAUACUGUACUGUGUUUAAAGGCAUAUCUGUUAAACCUUCUCUGACAAUUGUACGUUUAAUGAAUUGCAAAGGUCGCUGUAAUGGUGUACCAUCUGUAUUAAGGAAAAAGUGAUCUGUUUUGGGAAAGCGUAAUGGUCGUAUUUUGGUAUAGUAAAAAUGGAAAACAGAUUGAUAAAAACGGAAAAGAGAUUCAUACAGUGUACUACAGAGACUAAACGAUGCCUGAGAUGUCUGCAUAGAUUUGAUUUCUGAUAUGAAAUAAGUUUGAGACGGAUAUCCUUCUUCGUAUUCUGAUAUUCUAAAAUUUACAACAGUUUGAGGGCGAUGUCCCAGAUGAAGUAUACAGCCGGCCAUGUACGAUACUAGAAUUUGAUAUUCGGUAGUUGAUACUGUAUCCUGUUUUAGUAUUUGUUCUAUACGGGGCUUUCAUCCAUUCAAACUGUUGUAUAUUUCUAGUGUCUGCAAUUCGAGUAUAUUCUCUACGGCGUUUCACUGCUUUUUCUCUUUCGGUUAAUUGUUUUCUUCUGGCCAUAUGUUCGCAGAUUUCGAGAAUUAUCUUCCGUGUAUUUUCUGUCUGGUAAUUUCUAUUGCAAAGGUAACUGAUGAAACGUUUAAUACCGUUGAUCCAUACAGUCAAACUAUCUCCUUUUAGACCACAUUUUAUUAAUACAUUAAAUGCAUCUGUUACAUUUGCUUCAUUAAAUGGUUCUGCUGGAUUAUGCUUGAUUAAGUAAUUAUAAAAUUUCCGGACAUUAUUAUACAGUUGUUUGGUUUUUUGUGUUAAUUCCCCUUCUGCCAAAAAUAAUAAUUCUCUGAAUCCAAAUACUUCCGGUAACGUUUCGGAUAUUGUGUCGUACAUGCCGACUGUUUUUAAUUGAUGUGCUACGGAAUAUAUUGGAUAACGUAUUUUUUUCGGUGUCAGAGAAGGAUAAGUACAUGUAGGUCGAACAGGAGAUCGCAGAAGAGGCUCUGUAGGAGGAGACGUAGAUCGAAUAGGAGACUCUGUAUGAGAAGAAGAUGGAAUAGGAGUUUCUGCUGGUGUUUCUGUGGUAGGAUUAGAGGUUGGCAAAUACAGUUUUAGAAUUAAUAAAUCGUCAGAAUCUCGGUAGAAAUGAAUAUAAUUAUUUGAGUAGCUGUAACGAAAUUUCGUGUUUAUCCAGGUUUGCGUUAAUGCCAGAAGGAAGGUAUAAAUAUAGGAAGUAAAAUCAUGGAUGGCCAUACAGUGACGUCGAUAAUGAGUUGUGUGUACCUCGCAUUUAACUAUUGAACACUGGGUUAUUUUUUCUUUAGGCAUCUGUAAAU
rnacentral:lncRNA from 1 species